rnacentral:rRNA from 1 species
AUGAACGCUUGCGGCGUGCCUAAUACAUGCCAGUCGAGCGAACAGACGAGGAGCUUGCUCCUCUGACGUUAGCGGCGGACGGGUGAGUAACACGUGGAUAACCUACCUAUAAGUCUGGGAUAACUUCGGGAAACCGGAGCUAAUACCGGAUAAUAUAUUCAACCGCAUGGUUCAAUAGUGAAAGACGGUUUUGCUGGCACUUAUAGAUGGAUCCCCGCCGCAUUAGCUAGUUGGUAAGGUAACGGCUUACCAAGGCAACGAUGCGUAGCCGACCUGAGAGGGUGAUCGGCCACACUGGAACUGAGACACGGUCCAGACUCCUACGGGAGGCAGCAGUAGGGAAUCUUCCGCAAUGGGCGAAAGCCUGACGGAGCAACGCCGCGUGAGUGAUGAAGGUCUUCGGAUCGUAAAACUCUGUUAUUAGGGAAGAAAAAAUGUGUAAGUAACUCUGCACGUCUUGACGGUACCUAAUCAGAAAGCCACGGCUAACUACGUG